UGAGGAGGUUGGCUUAGAAGCAGCCAUCCUUUAAAGAAAGCGUAACAGCUCACUCAUCAAGCGAUCCUGCGCCGAAAAUGUAACGGGGCUAAAGCCAUUUACCGAAAUUGUGGGCUCGUAAGAGCGGUAGCGGAGCGUUCCGUAAGCCUGCGAAGGUGUGCUGUGAGGCAUGCUGGAGGUAUCGGAAGUGAGAAUGUUGACAUGAGUAGCGACAAAGCGGGUGAGAGACCCGCUCGCCGAAAAUCCAAGGGUUCCUGCGUAAAGCUAAUCUGCGCAGGGUUAGCCGGCCCCUAAGGCGAGGCCGAAAGGCGUAGCCGAUGGGAACCACGUUAAUAUUCGUGGGCCUGGGAGUGUGUGACGGAUUUCGAAAGUUGUCAUCCCUUAUCGGAUUGGGAUGGCAGCCUGGAAGUCCCAGGAAAUAGCCCUCCCGUAUAGACCGUACCCUAAACCGACACAGGUGAUCAGGUAGAGAAUACUAAGGCGAUCGAGAGAAUCAUGGUUAAGGAAUUCGGCAAAAUGCCCCCGUAACUUCGGGAGAAGGGGGGCCCCAACCUUGAGCACCACGUGCUGGUGUGAGGGGAUCGGGGCCGCAGAGACCAGGGGGAAGCGACUGUUUAUCAAAAACACAGGUCCGUGCGAAGACG
rnacentral:rRNA from 1 species